rnacentral:lncRNA from 1 species
GGUGUCGUUGGAGCUGGUGAAGGUGGUGGGAGGAUACGGGUUUGAGUCGUUCAACAACUGUUUCUUCAACCUGGCCAUUCCUGUCAUGGUCCUCACCGAGGCUGCACCUGUCAAGAGGACACAGAUCAGGGAAGACAUCUCUUUCUCUAUCUGGGACCGCUGGACUGUGUGGGGUGACCAACACUUCUCUCUCUCUGACUUCAUCAAGGCAGUGCUGGUGAAUUAUGGGAUAGAACCUACCAUGGUGGUCCAUGGCGUGAAGAUGCUCUAUGUUCCUGUGAUGCCUGGACACAACAAGAGACUAAAACUAACGAUGCAGAAGUUGAUCAAGCCGUCUGUAGACCGUCGCUACGUCCGACCUGACCGUGUCCUUCGCUCCUGAGUCAGACGGUGAUGAGGACCUUCCUGGACCCCCCGUUAGGUACUACUUCAGCUCCGACGGAGACGCUCACAGCGCCUGACACGCCCGGACCAUAACCCCCUCAGUCCCCUCAAACUAACCCCCCCUCAGUCCCCACAAACUAACCAAAUAUACCACCCCUCAGUCCCCUCAAACUAACCCCCCUGUACCUGCAAAACCCCAGUUGACAACAGUGGUGCUUCUUGAACAGGGGUGGAUUCUAGAACAGGGGUGGAUUCUAGAACAGGGGUGGAUUCUAGAACAGGGGUGGAUUCUAGAACAGGGGUGGAUUCUAGAACAGGGGUGGAAUCUAGAAUAUAUGUUGUUUCUAGAAUAUAUGUUGUUUCUAGAAUAUAUGUUGUUUCUAGAAUAUAUGUUGUUUCUAGAAUAUAUGUUGUUUCUAGAAUAUAUGUUGUUUCUAGAAUAUAUGUUGAUUCUAGAAUAUAUGUUGAUUCUAGAAUAUAUGUUGAUUCUAGAAUAUAUGUUGAUUCUGGAAUAUAUGUAGAUUCUAGAAUAUAUGUUGUUUCUAGAAUAUAUGUUGAUUCUAGAAUAUAUGUUGAUUCUAGAAUAUAUGUUGUUUCUAGAAUAUAUGUUGAUUCUAGAAUAUAUGUUGAUUCUAGAAUAUAUGUUGUUUCUAGAAUAUAUGUUGAUUCUAGAAUAUAUGUUGAUUCUAGAAUAUAUGUUGUUUCUAGAAUAUAUGUUGUUUCUAGAAUAUAUGUUGAUUCUAGAACAGAUGGUGAUUCUAGAAUAUAUGUUGAUUCUAGAACAGAUGGUGAUUCUAGAAUGGGGGGAUUCUAGAACAGGGCUGGCCCCAUGGACCAUUAUUAGAGAAAGAGCAUAGAGGUAGAAAGAGGGCUCUAGAUGGAUAUAACCUGGUUUGAUGAGUUCUCUUUCUACCUCUAUGAGAAGAGGGUUGCAAUUGACUGUGUACAUAGUAGUCCCUCUGUGUUUUCUACUCAGAUUUAAAACACAGCUCUGACUGGUGUUUUCUGCUCUGGUUUAAAACACAGCUCUGACUGGUGUUUUCUGCUCUGGUUUAAAACACAUCUCGGACUGCUAUGCACAUGCCUUAACUAACAACCUUGAUGUGUUUGUCACGACGACGACGACGAUGAUGAUGCUAAGAAUAAAAACAUUUGUGUUUACACACCCAUACAUACACACUUCCCAUGGUUUUCAUUUGGGGGAUGGCGAGACAGGUAGAGGGAGGAACUCUUGAUUCAAGGAUUUUGGUUUUGUGAGAAGCAGUGAACGAGUGCACACUUCAGAAGAAAGGAGAUAUUAUUGGGACGCCCCCUAUAUGCUCUCCUCAGUCAGAAGCCAUGUCAGCAAUUCGCUAUAUAAACAGGUCUGUCUGUUGUUGAAGUGGGAGGGACAGAGAUGAUAAGAGGUUAGUCUGUCUGUUGUUGAAGAUGAUGGGAGGGACGUUAUGAAUACAGUCCCUGGUAGUCUACCAUCUACCAUCUACAUUAUGAAUACAGUCCCUGAUAGUCUACCAUCUACCAUCUACAUUAUGAAUACAGUCCCUGGUAGUCUACCAUCUACCAUCUACAUUAUGAAUACAGUCCCUGAGAGUCUACCAUCUACCAUCUACAUUAUGAAUACAGUCCCUGAUAAUCUACCAUCUACAUUAUGAAUACAGUCCCUGAGAGUCUACCAUCUACCAUCUACAUUAUGAAUACAGUCCCUGAUAGUCUACCAUCUACCAUCUACAUUAUGAAUACAGUCCCUGAUAGUCUACCAUCUACCAUCUACAUUAUGAAUACAGUCCCUGAGAGUCUACCAUCUACCAUCUACAUUAUGAAUACAGUCCCUGAUAGUCUACCAUCUACCAUCUACAUUAUGAAUACAGUCCCUGAUAGUCUACCAUCUACCAUCUACAUUAUGAAUACAGUCCCUGAUAGUCUACCAUCUACCAUCUACAUUAUGAAUACAGUCCCUGAUAGUCUACCAUCUACCAUCUACAUUAUGAAUACAGUCCCUGAUAGUCUACCAUCUACAUUAUGAAUACAGUCC